GAUUAAUACAGUUUAUUAAUACAAUUCUAAAAUUACUCAUUCAAAACAAAGUAUAUUUCAGUCAAAUAUAAAAAUGUAAAGAAUUAAUAAAAUCAUAUUAAGGACUAUUUACUUACAGUGGGUUGUUAAUGAAGGCUUCAGAGGGGUGUAUAUUAAAUAAAACAUUGGGGAAGACGUAGCGGAUAUGAGAUGCUAUGCCACCAAUGACAGGGUCACCUGGCUCAUACCACUCAUGUGGAAUAGGUACAGGAUUAGUUGUGGUAAAAUGAGCACUAUGCACUUGGCACACCAUGUUGGGGAAGAGCAAGAGAAGCAGCAGCAGCAAGGUUCUACACAUGGACUCUUCUUGGCCUCUCUACAAUAUCAUUAUUAUCAUCAGCAGCCUGAUUUGACCAGCAUCGAUUUGGAGGCAGCAGACUCUGCCAGUUCAGUGAUUAAAGGGACAUGCAUACAUCAUAUCAUUAAACUCUGUCGCAAAUACCUGCCUUGAAUGGUAAAUAAGAUGAUGUGAUUUGAUAUAUGACCGGUACAAUCACAGAGCCUGGCCUCUCUCUCCUGCAUUAUUCUGUCUAUGGAACACUGGGAGACUAUAAACAUUUCAGACUUGUUUGCUGAUUCUCCCCUACCCGACAUUUUGCCUUCUGGAGCAUUGGCAAGGUGACUUAAUUAUUGUCAUUUUAAUAAUUGCAGGGGAGACAAUCACUUGCAAUUUUUUACAGACUCCAUGGCGCAUCAUCAUUGGUAGAACUGUCAAGUAAAUAUAUUUAUCACCUCAUGGAAUUAUAGGUUAGGAAGAACAUGAUUUUGCUUGUUUUUUGUUGUUUUUUUGUAUGCAACCAUGUAAUGGAGAAGCGAGAAAAUGGAGGGAGGUAGGUACUGCUUCUUGUGCCUUCGUGGGUACCUUGUCAGCAAGGUGUUGAUGGAAGCAACAUGAUAACUUUCUAUUUGUGUGAGCAGCAAGUUCUCACCAAGAACAAUGGCUUCUGGGUACCUAGGUCAAUUAUAUGAAUGUAAUGGGGGAGGGGAACUGGAUAAUUUUGGAGAGGGGAUGUCUUUGCCAUUUCACACUGGGUUCCCUUUGAUCCUUUGACACAUCACCCAGCCUAUCACUUCAUGGGAAAUUAGCUUAUAUUAAUCAGCUGCUGAUUCAGGGGAUUAGAGAUGUCUAGUACAUAGUUUGGCAUCCCAAACCCUAAUUAAAUUCUGACACUUGCUGGGUCCAGAAUUUAUAGUGGUCUGGCAACCACAAGCUCUAUAUAGCUUCAUAAAAAUAAAUAAUAAGUUUCUGUUUUCAUCUCAAAGUUUCAGUUUCUUCAGUUGAAAUUUGGAUCUGCUUUUCAACUGUUUUUCACAUUUGGUCAGAACAGCUUCUUUAAAGAAGAGACAACCAUUUUGCAACCCAGAAAUAAAAGAUUUUUUAUUACAUAAAUUGAUUUACAUAUGUUGAUGUUUUGACUUAGAAUACAAAGAGCAUGUAUGAACCCAGAAAGUCUUCUGUUUAUAUCUUUCUUUGUAUUAGAUGCUACUUGUGGAGGAUUGAAUGACAUAGCCUCUGAUGAUGUUAAAUCAAAGUCAGUUUAGAUUUUAGUGAAGUUGCUUGUCAGUGUGAAGCCCAGAUAUAUCAUUCAGAACUACAAUAGCUUCAGGCAUAGAAUUUCUGGAUCCUGGAUCCUGGGUGCAGCACAGCCUUAUGCCCACAUAGCUGCAGCAAUUGCUCUAGUAAGUGGUUGGAUAGGUACAGGUAAACUCUGCAUCAAUCACUAUCUUCUUGGGAGCAGAGCUGGUCCAGAACACUUUGGUGCCUGAGGUAAGCCACAAAAUGGCAUCUCCAUCCUCUCCAGGGAAGAAGGAAUGAGUGAAUGUCUCCAUCAGGAACAAGUGGGGAAUAAAGAUCAACAUUGGGAUCUGCUGCCCCUGUGGAUCUUGCCACCAGAGAAGGUUGCCUCACCUUUCCUCAUGGGAGGGCCAGCCCUGCUUGGGAAUCAUACAACACACUGUUAUCCUCAAUCCCUUUAUCUUCCCCUUGUAGUGUAGGAACUUAUUACUUUGAGUUUGAAUGCGUGAGGAUAUGCACCCAUGGUUCUAUAUAUUCUGAACUAUGCUAAUCAAUCUAUUGUUAAAAUAUCAUUUAUUCUUUUGUAAUAAACCAACUGUAUGGGGAACAGUCCAGUUUGUGAGAGCUCUUUACUGGGCAUAAGAUAAUUUGGGCCUAUUCUCAGAGCUGUGUCCAUUUGACUCCAGCAAAAUAGCUCACAAGGCAGUGUGUUUUAGUGUCAGCGAAGCUCAGAUACUGACAGGAGGAGAAGAAGCAGGCACAGGGAGAGGACAGUUAACAGCAGAAAGCAGAGAGGAGGGGGAGAGCAGCUGUAAUCUGAGCUCUGACCAAAGGGACAGUCAGAUGUGUGAGAACUCCAAUAGUUGGCAAGACGUUGGAAUGCAGGAAACACUCUCUGCCAAAUCUCAGGAUUUCAAAAGUGGCAGAGACACACAAAAGAUACUGGAAGAGAAGAUGGGGGCUUCCGUGCUGGGGAAGGGGGAGGAGCUCAGUCCGGGCAACUCCAUCUUCUGGGGAGGACAAUGUGUAGAGGAGCGCCAUAUAGUUUGUUGUUUUAGCAAUAAAUCUGAAAUAAUUAACAGCCAGAGUCAUCUCGUGUUUGUGGGAGAAACCAAGCCGUAAUAUUUAGGGGUGAGUUAGUUUGUAGACACAAAUGGGGAUUCCAAUAUACACUUGUCCGACCUCAUGUUCCUAAACUGAUACCAAGAACAUAAGUGAAACUACAAACACAUCUGUCAUUUACAUACAGUGGUACCUCGGGUUACAUACGCUUCAGGUUACAUACGCUUCAGGUUACAGACUCCGCUAACCCAGAAAUAGUACCUCGGGUUAAUAACUUUGCUUCAAGAUGAGAACAGAAAUUGUGCUCCGGUGGUGCGGCAGCAGCAGGAGGCCCCAUAGGCUAAAGUGGUGCUUCAGGUUAAGAACAGUUUCAGGUUAAGAACGGACCUUCGGAACAAAUUAAGUACUUAACCCGAAGUACCACUGUAUUUCUCUAUAUCAGUUGCUCUCUAUUGUUGAAUUAAGGCCUCACUAAUAUAACAUAGGUUUUUUAUUUAGUUUCUUAAAUAAUUAAUAUACCACUUAGUAAAAAACAACUCUAAUACUUAACUUCAUUUACGUUAGCUGUCUAAUCAGAACAACUAUAGAAUAAUGUUGAUGUUUCUCUUUCAAUUUCAGAGUUUCAUUGUCUUCAGUUGAAGUUCAGAAGGUUAUGUGAACAUUUGCCUCAUUUGGUCUGAAUGGCCUCUUAAAAUAACAUGCAACAAUUUUGCAGCCCAGAAACAGAGCACAAAACAGCUGAAAUAUUUUCAUUUGGUCACAUGUCCUCAUUCAUUCACAUUUUUGACAUUUCAGUGUUGAAAAUUAAGAACAAUCAUGGAACUACAAAAUUUUAUAUUAUUUAUAUCUUUCUUUGCAUUAGAUGUUCUCUGGUGUUCAGGUCAGGCCUCACAAGAAUAAUGUAGCAUUUGGGGGAAAAGAUGCAAGCCAGUAAUCCAGCACUAGAAGCCAAGAUGGAGAAGAUCUCCACAGCCACCAUGUGUUUUCCUCUGGUGCUCAGGUAAGUUGGAAUGAAGGAGACCCAAACACUGCAAAAGACCAGCAUGCUGAAGGUGAUGAACUUGGCUUCAUUGAAGCUGUCAGGUAACUUCCUGGCUAGGAAAGCCACAGUGAAGCUGACAGUGGCCAGGAAGCCCAUGUAGCUCAAAACACAGUAGAACAUGUGGACGGACCCUUCAUUACAUAAGAAUAUAAUUUCUUCACUCAUUGAUUUCAUGUCCAAAUCUGGGAAUGGGGGGAAGGUUGCCAGCCAAAGACCACAGAGCCCCACUUGAACAGUGGAGCCAGAGAGGACAAUUGAAUAAGCCAGUUUUUUGCCUACCCACUUUCUGAUUGUGGAUCCUGGCUUAGUAGCCAUGAAUGCCAAAACCACUGAUAUGGUUUUGGCCAAGAUGCUAGACAGGGCCACAGAGAAGACGAUGCCAAAACUUGUUUGUCGGAGUGGGCAGGUUGCCUGCUUAGGUGUUCCAAUGAACAUCAAGGAGCAGAGGAAACACAAGAGGAGGGACACAAGGAGAAUGUAAGUCAGGCUUCUAUUGUUGGCUUUGACAAUUACGGUGUCCUUGUGCUUAAUGAAAAUGCCCAACACUAGAGCUGUGAUCAGAGAAAACAAUAGUGCAGAGGAAGUUGAAAUGAUGGCUAAAGUUUCAUCAAAGCCCAGAAAGUUUGGUAUCUUAGGAAUGCAAUUAUCCUGGUCUUUGUUUGGAUACUUAUUUGCUGGGCAACUGAUACAUGUUUCCAUGUCUGAAAAGACAAAAUGAAAUUACAGACAAUUCUUAAGAAUUUUAGUCCUCAGGAGUCCACCUAGCUAAUGUUCUUUACCGGGGUAGCUUUCAAUCUUCUAACUCAAAGACUUUUGUCUGAGAUAUUUCAAAAAUAGAUCUCAUGCAUCAAAUCUGGAAUUUCUACAUAGAGGAUAUCUCUAUCUUUUAGUGGCCCUCCUCCUCUUUCUUAGAAUGCCCUGUAGUGAAAAGAGAGCAACGUUACAGCUGAAAUCUUGUGAGCCAAGAGAGGUCCACUGAAUGAGACAUUCACUCUCUUCCCAAACUGUCUUCUUCUUCGUGGAGUGACCAUCACCUCUAUUCCAUCAGAAUUUAGUAGAAUUUGGAUGCAAAAUGUAUUACGUUCCUUUCUGAAAAAAUAUUUUCUUCAGGAUUUUUUAAAGAUUAUAUUGUAAACAAUGACAACAAUACAGAAAUCAAUUAUUUAACCCCCACACCACAACAAAAUUUUAAGGACCUCAGAGUUGGCUAAAUAAAUUGUGCAUUUUGGUCUAUCUUAAGAUGACAUUUCUCACCCUUUUCAUUUGAGUACAUCCCGCUGGGACAUGGUUCACAAUCAUAGCAACAAAAUUUACUUCUCUCCUUCUUUUUCUUCCCGUAACCAGGACGGCAUUUGUCAUUACAUACUGACAGGGGUGGCACCUAUCCAAAUAUAUAGGAAUAAUUUUGUUUUUAAAGGUUUUAUGGGAUUUAAUCUAACAUCAGGGGAUCUAUCAGCAAUAGGAGGACCAAUAAUGUGAAACCUAUGAUCCAUAUGGGCACAAGUGGAACAUAAAAUGGGAUAAAAAGCAGCCGUUAAGCAUUAUUAGAUUUGAGUAUAUCUUAGCGGUUUUGCUUCUACUUGCAGAAUUGUUACAUGAAUGUUCUACUAGGAGCAUCUUGCUUAGUUCCAUGGUUUUUGGGCUGUGGUUCCCCAUGAGGUUUCAGGUUCUUUCAUCUUUGUGAUUCAACAUUUAUAUGAAACAGUUAGGGGCUAUCUUCAAGGAAUCUGGAGCACAGUGUUCAUAUGUAUACUGAUGACCUGCAUCUCUGUCUCGGCUUUCCGUAGGAAUUAGGAGAACCAGUGAAGGUGUUGAACUGCUGUCUGAAGGUUGUGUUGGACAGGAUGGUGGCUGAAUCCUUAUAAUUCCAAAGUGCUUUGGGUGAGUGGAUUCUGUCUCUCAAAGGAUUGGGAUCCCUUCUGGGAGGGAUUGGACUCACUGUGAAGGAAGAAGUUUGUAGUCUGGAACUACCUUGAGAUUCCAACUCAUCACUAGGGUCUCAAGUGGCUUCUGUGGCUGGUCUGCUUAUGCCCUUUUAGGUUGAUGCACUAGGUGCAUCUAUGCCUAGAUGUAUACCUGCUGCACCUAGCAUCAUGCAAACUCCAGAAGAUUAUAAUGUUCAUUUUAAGCCCAAGCAAUGCUGUAAGAAGCUUAGCAUUAUAUCAGAUUCCACUAACCGGAGAUCUGCCUCUGGGACGUCACAUAAAAGAAUGUCUGACAACAGUAUCUGAU